AUGCAGCGACGCCGCGUGAGGGAUGACGGCCUUCGGGUUGUAAACCUCUUUCAGCAGGGAAGAAGCGAAAGUGACGGUACCUGCAGAAGAAGCGCCGGCUAACUACGUGCCAGCAGCCGCGGUAAUACGUAGGGCGCAAGCGUUGUCCGGAAUUAUUGGGCGUAAAGAGCUCGUAGGCGGCUUGUCACGUCGGAUGUGAAAGCCCGGGGCUUAACCCCGGGUCUGCAUUCGAUACGGGCUAGCUAGAGUGUGGUAGGGGAGAUCGGAAUUCCUGGUGUAGCGGUGAAAUGCGCAGAUAUCAGGAGGAACACCGGUGGCGAAGGCGGAUCUCUGGGCCAUUACUGACGCUGAGGAGCGAAAGCGUGGGGAGCGAACAGGAUUAGAUACCCUGGUAGUCCACGCCGUAAACGUUGGGAACUAGGUGUUGGCGACAUUCCACGUCGUCGGUGCCGCAGCUAACGCAUUAAGUUCCCCGCCUGGGGAGUACGGCCGCAAGGCUAAAACUCAAAGGAAUUGACGGGGGCCCGCACAAGCAGCG
rnacentral:rRNA from 1 species